GUGCCAGCCGCCGCGGUAAUACGUAGGUCCCGAGCGUUGUCCGGAUUUAUUGGGCGUAAAGCGAGCGCAGGCGGUUAGAUAAGUCUGAAGUUAAAGGCUGUGGCUUAACCAUAGUACGCUUUGGAAACUGUUUAACUUGAGUGCAAGAGGGGAGAGUGGAAUUCCAUGUGUAGCGGUGAAAUGCGUAGAUAUAUGGAGGAACACCGGUGGCGAAAGCGGCUCUCUGGCUUGUAACUGACGCUGAGGCUCGAAAGCGUGGGGAGCAAACAGGAUUAGAUA
rnacentral:rRNA from 1 species